AAAACUUUACCAUCACUAAUUUGUGUUUUCCAAGUCAAAUCAAUCAAAAAAAACAUUACCAUCACUGAUUUGCAAUUUAGAUCUUUCAAAUCAUAUCAGAAUAACCAUACACAUCUUUGUCUACAUUUAUCCUAUCUCAUACUACUCCUCUCAGUCAUCUUCCUCCUCUCUUUUUUUAUUCAAACUUGUGUAAAUCAACUCACUGACCAUUUCAAUCUUUCUUUUGCUGAACCAGAUAAAGUUUUCUCAAAACCUCAAAUUUUAUUUUAUGGUUUUCAAAC
rnacentral:lncRNA from 1 species